rnacentral:misc_RNA from 1 species
ACUCUUCAACCCACCAGUUUCUAGUGAACUGUUGUGGAGUUUGGAUUUUGAGCGCUGCUAAUCUGAUUAGCUCGUUCGUAAUAUAUUAGCAUUCUCGAAUUCGAAUUCGGCUUGACUCAGUGUAAUAGACUAUUCGCUGAGGACACUAUUAAUUUAGUGGCCGAACUAGAAACAGUAGAAGCUUCCAAUUCUUGCUAGUCAAAUUUUGA